rnacentral:rRNA from 1 species
UUUAGCAGAGAUGCUUUAGUGCCUUCGGGAACUCUGAGACAGGUGCUGCAUGGCUGUCGUCAGCUCGUGUUGUGAAAUGUUGGGUUAAGUCCCGCAACGAGCGCAACCCUUAUCCUUUGUUGCCAGCACGUAAUGGUGGGAACUCAGAGGAGACUGCCGGUGAUAAACCGGAGGAAGGUGGGGAUGACGUCAAGUCAUCAUGGCCCUUACGAGUAGGGCUACACACGUGCUACAAUGGCGCAUACAAAGAGAAGCGACCUCGCGAGAGCAAGCGGACCUCAUAAAGUGCGUCGUAGUCCGGAUUGGAGUCUGCAACUCGACUCCAUGAAGUCGGAAUCGCUAGUAAUCGUAAAUCAGAAUGUUACGGUGAAUACGUUCCCGGGCCUUGUACACACCGCCCGUCACACCAUGGGAGUGGGUUGCAAAAGAAGUAGAUAGCUUAACCUUCGGGAGGGCGUUUACCACUUUGUGAUUCAUGACUGGGGUGAAGUCGUAACAAGGUAAGCGUAGUGCU